rnacentral:rRNA from 1 species
GAUGAACGCUGGCGGCGUGCCUAAUACAUGCAAGUCGAGCGAACAGACGAGAGUGCUUGCACUCUCUGACGUUAGCGGCGGACGGGUGAGUAACACGUGGGUAACCUACCUAUAAGACUGGGAUAACUUCGGGAAACCGGAGCUAAUACCGGAUAAUAUUUAGCUUCGCAUGAAGCAAUAGUGAAAGACGGUUCUGCUGUCACUUAUAGAUGGACCCGCGGUGUAUUAGCUAGUUGGUGAGGUAACGGCCCACCAAGGCAACGAUACAUAGCCGACCUGAGAGGGUGAUCGGCCACACUGGGACUGAGACACGGACCAGACUCCUACGGGAGGCAGCAGUAGGGAAUCUUCCGCAAUGGACGAAAGUCUGACGGAGCAAUGCCGCGUGAGUGAAGAAGGUUUUCGGAUCGUAAAACUCUGUUGUAAGGGAAGAACAAGUACGUUAGUAACCGAACGUACCUUGACGGUACCUUACCAGAAAGCCACGGCUAACUACGUG